rnacentral:rRNA from 1 species
UUCCGGUUGAUCCUGCCGGAGGCGACCGCUUUUGGAGUUCGAUUAAGCCAUGCGAGUAGAAAGAAAUUAGAUUCUUUGCGAACUGCUCAGUAACACGUGGAUAACCUGCCCUAUGCUCUGGAAUAACCUCGGGAAACUGAGAAUAAUACCGGAUAGAUCACAACGCCUGGAACGGUGUGUGGUUCAAAGAUUACGGCAUAGGAUGGGUCUGCGGCGUAUCAGGUCGUAGGGGGUGUAAAGGACCUCCUAGCCAUCGACGCGUACGGGUGUUGGGAGACAUAGCCCGGAGAUGGAUUCUGAGACACGAAUCCAGACCCUACGGGGUGCAGCAGGCGCGAAAACUUCACACUGCAGGAAACUGUGAUGAGGGAACUCCAAGUGCGCGCACUUAUGUGUGCGCUUUUCUUGACUAUUAAUCGGUCUUGGAAUAAGGGCUGGGAAAGACCGGUGCCAGCCGCCGCGGUAAUACCGGCAGCUCAAGUGGUCGUCGCUUUUAUUGGGCCUAAAACGUCCGUAGCCUGUUUGGUAAAUCUGUGGGUAAAUCAACCAGCUUAACUGGUUGAAUUCUGCAGAGACUGCCAGACUAGGGACCGGGAGAGGUGUGGGGUACUCUAGGGGUAGGGGUAAAAUCCUGUCAUCCUUAGAGGACCACCAGUUGCGAAGGCGCCACACUGGAACGGAUCCGACGGUCAGGGACGAAGCCUAGGGGCACGAACCGGAUUAGAUACCCGGGUAGUCCUAGGUGUAAACGCUGUGAACUUGGUGUCGGGAGUCCGCAAUGGGCCCCCGGUGCCGGAGUGAAGAUGUUAAGUUCACUGCCUGGGGAGUACGGUCGCAAGGCUGAAACUUAAAGGAAUUGGCGGGGGAGCACUGCAACGGGAGGAGCGUGCGGUUUAAUUGGAUUCAACGCCGGA